UUUUGCUCCUUAAUAACAAUGUGCAGUAGAUUUGCCAAACACAGCACUCUCCAGGCUGAAUUGUACUUGCUCAGCCUGAUGUACAAAAUCUUAAAUGCAUCUAAAUAACAUCCAGCUGGCAUAUUUCAGACUGUAGCUUUCUGUACCACUUUUGUGUAUGGUACAGAUGUGGCAGACAAAUCUAACAAAAUUUGGGGGGGAAGCAUCGGAUGUAAAUUGGGAACAAUUAAUAAAAAGAAUGGAAAAAUCCUCCUGAAAUAAAAAUUCUGUUCAGAGAGCCUACAUGUGAAAGUAAGCACCCACUGCUUGCCAGAGGAAGGUUUAGGGCUGAUUAUGUUUUAAGCCUGAGAAAAUCCAUUCAUUAGAGAUGAUGUAGUUUUAAAAAUACACCUGGUUCUCAGACUUGUGUACCUGUGUGUUUGCAGAUCUAGGCUUUGUGCUCUGCCACCAGAGACUGUGUUUCCACAGCCGGUUUCAAUUCCAGGCUGUUAAUUGACUGCAGUGCCAAGGGAUGAGGAUUAAGGGAGAGUCUGGGCUGUGAAGCAGGCAAACCUGGGGGGAUGACAGGAUACCUGGUGGGGCAUUGAAUGCAUUUGAAUGCUACCCCUUCCUCCAUUACCUAGGCAAAUGGACCUGAGGUUGCCACAAGAUUUGGGUCAGCCUCUACCAGUGCAAUUACCUGCAAGCAAAAGCAGGGUGAUGAAGGCAAUGGCUCUCGCCUGAAGGCUGCCAGCAGCCGUGGGCUGUGGUCUGGUGCGUGCCCAUGGCACAGUUUGGCUCAGCACCUGUGCCAGGCACUGGAACCUGUCCAACUGCACUGGGACUGAAGCGGGAACCCUAACUGUGCUGCUGGAAACACAGGAACUUGUAGUUAACAACCAACAGGAGCUUGUAGUUAACAACCGGCAGGCUUCUGCAGCUUUCUGGUAUCAUCCAGGCAGCUCAAUGCUCGGAGAAAACUGCUAAUGCAAAGGCUAUUGAUUUUAACCAGAUGAGCAAAGCCAAACUCCACAGACUGGCUCAGCAUCCCCAGUCCCAAGAGAAACUGCAUUUCCCUAGGUACUGCUUGACUCCUGCAGGAUAUUUGAGAAAGAGGAGAAAACAGUCACCAGUCAAGCCUUUGAACCUUUUACUGUAGGUCAGGAGACUGGUCCAUGGUGCUGGAAAACCUUAUGCAAGCCUAGGAACACCUUUGCAGUCCAGCUAGUCUCCUAUUUGCUGUAGUUAGCUGUAAGACCAAGGGAUACUUCCUAAGAAAUUGUUGGAGGACCUUUCAGUUCUGUUCCGUUGUGCCUGCAAGGUGACCAGUAUGUCUGCUCUCCAUCCUAGAUGUGCUUACUGAAGCUGCGCUGAGCCUUGCUACUUACAGUGGAAUCCCAGGGUCUCUAAGCU
rnacentral:lncRNA from 1 species